AGUGAACGCUGGCGGUAGGCCUAACACAUGCAAGUCGAACGGCAGCACAGUAAGAGCUUGCUCUUACGGGUGGCGAGUGGCGGACGGGUGAGGAAUACAUCGGAAUCUACUUUUUCGUGGGGGAUAACGUAGGGAAACUUACGCUAAUACCGCAUACGACCUACGGGUGAAAUCAGGGGAUCUUCGGACCUUUCCCGAUUCAAUGUGCCGAUGUCGGAUUAGCUAGUUGGCGGGGUAAAGGCCCACCAAGGCGACGAUGCGUAGCUGGUCUGAGAGGAUGAUCAGCCACACUGGAACUGAGACACGGUCCAGACUCCUACGGGAGGCAGCAGUGGGGAAUAUUGGACAAUGGGCGAAAGCCUGAUCCAGCCAUACCGCGUGGGUGAAGAAGGCCUUCGGGUUGUAAAGCCCUUUUGUUGGGAAAGAAAAGCAGCAGGUUAAUACGCCGCUGUUCUGACGGUACCCAAAGAAUAAGCACCGGCUAACUUCGUG
rnacentral:rRNA from 1 species